rnacentral:rRNA from 1 species
AGAGUUUGAUCCUGGCUCAGAACGAACGCUGGCGGCACGCCUAACACAUGCAAGUCGAGCGCUACCUUCGGGUGGAGCGGCGGACGGGUUAGUAACGCGUGGGAACAUACCCAACUCUACGGAAUAGCCUCGGGAAACUGAGAGUAAUACCGUAUACGCCCUUCGGGGGAAAGAUUUAUCGGAGAUGGAUUGGCCCGCGUUAGAUUAGAUAGUUGGUGGGGUAACGGCCUACCAAGUCUACGAUCUAUAGCUGGUUUGAGAGGAUGAUCAGCAACACUGGGACUGAGACACGGCCCAGACUCCUACGGGAGGCAGCAGUGGGGAAUCUUAGACAAUGGGCGAAAGCCUGAUCUAGCGAUGCCGCGUGAGUGACGAAGGCCUUAGGGUCGUAAAGCUCUUUCGCCAGGGAUGAUAAUGACAGUACCUGGUAAAGAAACCCCGGCUAACUCCGUGCCAGCAGCCGCGGUAAUACGGAGGGGGUUAGCGUUGUUCGGAAUUACUGGGCGUAAAGCGCACGUAGGCGGAUUAGAAAGUAGGGGGUGAAAUCCCAGGGCUCAACCCUGGAACUGCCUCCUAAACUACUAGUCUAGAGUUCGAGAGAGGUGAGUGGAAUUCCAAGUGUAGAGGUGAAAUUCGUAGAUAUUUGGAGGAACACCAGUGGCGAAGGCGGCUCACUGGCUCGAUACUGACGCUGAGGUGCGAAAGUGUGGGGAGCAAACAGGAUUAGAUACCCUGGUAGUCCACACCGUAAACGAUGAAUGCCAGACGU